UUUUCAUAACCACGCCAGGUAAGGAAGCAUCUCAAGAACUUGGAAAGCAACUUAAAAGAUGUGAUACCAACACUACUGUGUAAAAAUGAAGAAGAAACCGAUGGAUUAUUUUACAUUCAGUUGAUUGAACAAAAAGAAAAAAUAGGAGACAAGUUUUUAAUCAAAAUAUUCAAAAGAUGGCAGAUGGCACGUACAGAUGCCAUGACUGUCACAUGACUUUCGGGACUCUGAAUUUACUUCAGAAGCACAAGCAGAAGUUUUGUGUGGGAGGAUCCGUCGGAGACCCAGACAGUUUACGACUCAGGAAGGGGCUGCGGUCAGAUGAUGACCCCAUAGCGAGGCCUUAUUCUCCAGAGGAGAAGCCUUUAUCAGGAGGAAAGAAACUAGAGGACAAGGAAUAUCAGAAGUAUAAUCCAGACCAAGAUCAACAAAUAAAGCAGUUAGCUGAGAAUCAUGGGAGACAAAUGGAGUAUCUACAGCUCCGCAAUCAAGACCUGGAGAAACAGCGGCAAGAUAUACAGAGGAGAUUGGGAGAACUUGGAAAUAAAGGUCGGCCGACAGGAGGGGAGGACUCUGCCCAGCUAUUGGCCGAGCUGCGGGCACAGGAAGAGCGGAACCAGAGGGCGCUGGAUGACCUGAAACGCCAGCUUUACGACAUUAACCACCAACGGAUCAACGUCAUAGAGGUGGAUAAAGGUCAACCAGCACCCAUUACCCCCUCCCCCGCCACCAGUAGAGACGGGGCGGAAGUCCUACAUCUAUCCUAUAUACUAUGGAAACUCCAUGGUAGCCUGAAAUCAGUGCCAUAAGACAAGCAUAUCUACAGAACGGUGGUAACGACCCCGACAUCCUCCACCAGAUGGCACAAAUGCAAGCGGAGGCGCAAAACAUUGAGGACCAGAUGAAGAAGCAUGGAUAUGAUCGCAGACACAGAGAGAAGAAAGACCCAGGCCAGAUAACUCAACUGGAAUUAGAAAACUGAACGACUCCAUCGAGAACUGAUGCUAUUACAAGAGCAGAACUUUUUAGCUCGUGAACGGAAGAAAAGUGAUAGAGAAGAAGAACUUGAGCGCCAGCUGAGGCAACUGAGGGAGGACCAGUUAAGGAAAAUGUACGAGUUACAGAACGAGAUCAAUCUUCUGAAGAACAGACCUCCUGUUGAGGCCACCCCUCGUCAAGUUCUCCCCCCACCCCCUAGACCGUACGUAGAAGUGGAGCCAAUGGCGCCCUACGAUCAGUAUGUGGUAUGGAGCUCUCGUGAUGGGGUCCCCCUAUACCCCUCCCUAAUCAUUCAAACCCCUCGGGUCCUAAAAUCCACGUUUUCUACUGCGUGAGGUGCAGUCAGUACACACUGGGUGAGGAACGUUCCAUGUGUGACAGGACUUACUUGGUCCAUGUGCCUGCAUCACUACCCCAGUAUAUUCCUCCUUCUGUGUACUGAUGGUCACCACUGGUCGUCCUGUCACUUUUAUAGUCCAAUCCAAACAGCCUGUGGGAUGAGGCAUUGUGAAUCUGUGAUAUCAUACAAAAUCAAACUUUACUUUUUAUACUGUGAAAACAUAGAUUUUAGCUGCAUAUACCUUUUAAGCUUGUAAACAAGAGAUGAAAGAUAUUGUCAGAAUGUAUUUUUUUUUCUCAUUUAUCAUUGUUUUGUCAGAAUUUUGUAUGUACAGUAUUCAAAUAAAUAUCAUAUAGCAAUG
rnacentral:misc_RNA from 1 species